AUGCUGCUCUCCCACCUGCUGUGGGUCUGCGUGGCCUUCAUCUACUCCUACUCCAGUAGUAUGGCCCAGAAAGUGACUCAAGUCCAGCCAGCCACAUCUGGUCAGGAGGGAGAAGCAGUCACCCUGGACUGUUCGUAUGAAACGAGUUAUCCUACAUACUAUAUUUUUUGGUACAAACAACUUUCCAGUGGAGAGAUCAUUUUCCUUAUUCAAAAGAGCUCUUCUGGUUCAGAUGAAAGAAAAGGUCGCUAUUCUGUCCAGUUCAGGAGAGCAGCUAAAUCCAUCAGCCUUACCAUUUCACCCUUACAACGGGAAGACUCAGCCAAGUAUUUCUGUGCUCUGAGAGAAAACACAAGGGGGCUCUGUGUAACUGAUAAGCUCAUCUUCGGACAAGGAACCCGCUUGACUGUGGAACCAAAAACUCAGCCUCCUAYCAAACCAUCCGUUUUCAUCAUGAAAAAUGGAACAAAUGUUGCUUGUCUGGUGAAGGAUUUCUAUCCCAAGAAUGUAAAUAUAAAUCUCAAAUCAUCUAAGAAGAUAGUAGAAUUUGACCCUGCUAUAGUCGUCUCCCCCAGYGGGAAGUACAGUGCUGUCAAGCUUGGUCGGUAUGAAGAUCCAAAUUCAGUGAGGUGUUCAGUUCAACACAACGGUGAAAUGGUGUACUCCACUGAGUUUGAAUUGAACACAACUUCAGUUGAUAAUCAAAUUGAAGUGAGUCCUAAAAACAAUUCUGAAACUUCAGAGAGCUGCCAUAAACCAAGAGUGCUUGCUGAGAAGGUGAACACGAUGUCCCUCACAGUGCUGGGACUACGAAUGCUGUUUGCUAAGAGCAUUGCCAUCAAUUUUCUCUUGACUGCCAAGUUAUUUUUCUUCUAAGGCUGACUGGCACGAGGAAGUUGCGCUCCCAGGAGGAAACCAAAAGCUUGCGAGGACACUGUCUCCUAGGCUUCARCCUUAUUUAAACAGCUGCUAAUCAAACCAAUUUCCCGUUAAGGGCAACAACCCCCUUCA